UUGGUGUUAGUUUGAAAUGUUAGGCUUUAAGUUAUUAGUUGGGAAAUAAAGAAUAGAAGAGAGGAGAAUAUUUUUGGAUUUUUUUUGACAAAGGACUAAACCUACGUUUUUUUAUUAGUGGGCCUGACAAGAUUUACAAAUCCUGCUCCUACGUAUCUCAAUAGAGAAAUCAAGGCUUACGUAGUUCUGGGUAGAAAAUGUUUGUUUGUUGGUCGAUUUGAGCGAAAGCUAUAUU
rnacentral:lncRNA from 1 species